CAGCGGAGGGACAUUAAAGAGUUGCAAAACUCCCAAACCAUUGUGAACUUAUCCUUCAGUGUUGCUUCGGCGGGCGUCCCCGGGGAGGGGACGCAGCCCAAAGCCCCGAAAGGGGCGGCGGGCGCCCGCCGGAGGUACCAAACUCUUCUGUAUUAUAGUGGCACUUCUGAGUAAACAAGCAAAUAAGUCAAAACUUUCAACAACGGAUCUCUUGGUUCUGGCAUCGAUGAAGAACGCAGCGAAAUGCGAUAAGUAAUGUGAAUUGCAGAAUUCAGUGAAUCAUCGAAUCUUUGAACGCACAUUGCGCCCGCUGGUAUUCUAGCGGGCAUGCCUGUUCGAGCGUCAUUUCAACCCUCAAGCCCUGCUUGGUGUUGGGGCCCUACGGCUGCCGUAGGCCCUGAAAAGAAGUGGCGGGCUCGCUAUAACUCCGAGCGUAGUAGAAAUAUCUCGCUAGGGAAGUGUGGCGCGCUCCUGCCGUUAAAGACCCCUCUUUAACACAAGGUUGACCUCGGAUCAGGUAGGAAUACC
rnacentral:rRNA from 1 species